rnacentral:lncRNA from 1 species
UUUUUUUUUUUUUUUUUUGUUUGGAUGGCUUACUUUUUUUUAAUGCUUGAGUACUUCUCUCUUCAGUUUUUGUGAAUGUAAUGUUCAGUUUUGAUUUGUGGUUGCCCUGUUUUUUAAGUAUGUUAACCCCUUCCUCUAUAUCUGUUUGCUUUAGCCUGAUGCAACUGACAAGGGCUUCAUCUCUAAAAUAUACAAACAACUUAUACAACUCAACAGCAAAAAGCCAACUACCCAAUUGGACAAUCGGCAAAAGACCUGAAAAUACAUCUCUCCAAGGAAGAUACACUGAUGGCCAACAAGCACAUGAAAAAAUGCUAAACACCACUGAUUAUUAGAAAAAUGAAAAUCAAAACUAUUAUUAGAUAGCACCUCACACCAGUCAGAAUGGCCGUUAUUCAUAAGUCCACAAAUAACAAAUGCUGGAGGGGGUGUGGAGAAAAGGGAACCCUCUUGAACUGAUGGUGGGAAUGUAAGCUGGUGCAUUCACUAUGGAGAACAGUAUGGCGGGAACUUAGAAAAAUAUGCACAGAACUACCCUAUGACCCAGCAAUCCCACUCUUGGGGAUAUAUCCAGAUAAAACUUUCCUUAAAAUAAGACACAUGUACCUGCAUGUUCAUUGCAGCACUAUUCACAAUAGCCAAGACAUGGAAACAACCCAAAUGUCCAUUGACAGAUGACUGGAUUAGGAAGAUGUGGUAUAUAUACACAAUGGGAUACUACUCAGCCAUAAAAAAGGACAAAAUAAUGCCAUUUGCAGCAGCAUGGUUGGAACUAGAGACUCUCAUACUGAGUGAAGUAAGUCAGAAAGAGAAAGAUGAAUACCAUAUGAUAUCACUUAUAUCUGGAAUCUAAAUAUGGCACAAAUGAACCUUUCCACAGAAAAGAACAUCAUGGACUUGGAGACUUGUGGUUGCCAAGGGGGAGUGAGUGAGAUGGAUGGGGUGCUUUGGGUUAAUAGAUGCAGACUAUUGCCUUUGGAAUGGAUUAGCAAUGAGAUCCGGCUGUGUAGCACUGGGAAUUAUGUCUAGUCACUUAUGAUGGAGCAUGAUAAUAUGAUAAAAAAGAAUGUAUACAUGUAUGUGUAACUGGGUCACCAUAGUGUACAGUGGAAAAUUGACAGAACACUUUAAACCAGAUAUAAUGGAAAAAAAUAAAAACCAGUAUUAAAAAAAGAGAUAUGAAAUUAGGAAGUCAAGUAGCUUUUAAAAACUUAUUUUUAACUGCUGAAAGAGAUUGAAGAGCUGAGGCAGUUGGCUGAAAUGUCUUAGGGUCAACAGAGUAGGUUUUUUUCAAGCAUGGUUGAAAAUAGCAGUGGGGAGAAAAUAAAACAUUUCAUUUUUGUAGCUAGUUAUAUAGAUUUUUCAAAUAUUGCAUUAGUGUGAGUUUCAAAAACAUUUGUGGGGCUCUGUAUUCCUUCCUGAGUUUCACAGCACCAUCUGGCCUUCUCUUCCUUAAAUCUGAAAACCUUCCUUCAGAAUUUCACAUAGUGCAAAUCUUUUGGCAACAAAUUCUUAUAGUUUUCUUUUAUAUGACAGUAUCUGUUUUUGUCUUCAUUCUUUAGAGAUGUUCUCUCUCUAAAGAUGGCAUUCCACUAGCUUCAGGACUUCAGGAUUUGAGGAUAAAUCAGAGAACCUUAAAUCAUUGCUUCCCUCUGUAUGAUAUUUUGUUUUCCUCUAGAAAAAGAUUUUCUCUCUAUCUUCAUUUUUAGCAGUUGACUAAGAUUGACUGGGUAUCGUUUUCUUUGUAUUUAUCCUUCUUGGGCUUUGCUGAACUCCCUGAAUGUUUAAAUUUGUCUUUCAACAUACUAAUACCAACAAUACAAAUAUAUUUCCCUACCUAUCAAGCACUGCUCAGUAUUGAGUUUUUGAGGGUUUUUUCUUUCUUUUCUUUUUUUUUUUCCUAUGGAAUUCCUAGGCUGGGGUCCAAUCAGAGCUGUAGCUGUUGGCCUAUACCACAGUCACAGCAAUGCCAGAUCCAAGCCACAUCUGCAACUUAUACCGCAGCUCAGAGCAAUGGUGGAUCCUUAACACACUGAGUGAGGUCAGGGAUCAAACCUGCUUCCUCAUGGGUACUAGUUGGAUUCAUUUCCACUGUGCCACCAGAAGAAUUCCCAGUACUGAGUUUAAAUAUUUAUUUUUUGUGUUACUAUUUCUGUUAGAGAACUGGACCAAUAAAAGCUGUCUGGCCAUUUCCUAAAGAAAGAUACUUUAUUGACUUUACAUGCUGUCUAUAUAGUAAUAUAAUACCGAAUAUCAAAUAUUUAAAACUCAAUACUGGGCAAUGCUAGAUAGGGAAGUGUAUUGGUAUUGUGCCUAAUAAAGAUUAUUUCAAAGCUUUCCAUUCAAAUUAUCACCAUAAUAACUACAAUAAUAGUUAAUUCCCAUUGUAGGCUUAGGUUUGCCAGGUAGUAUUCCAAAUGUUUUAUAUGUAUUAAUUUAUUGAAUCCACAAAAAUAUCACAAACAGGCAUAUACUACUAUUGACUCAAUUUUAGAGAUGAGAUAACUAAAAUUUAGAGAGCCUAGGUCCAAGAUCAAUGAGUAAUAGAACAGCAAACAUUUACACUUAGGUGGUCUAUUAUUUACAGGGUCUGUAUUUAACCAGUAUCUUACAUUGCUCUGAUAUUUCCUAGCAGGUGAUUAAACCUCUAAUUUCAGUAAAAGGAAGUUUAACUCACAUUGUUUCUAGCACAACUUGACAGUUUUAAAUAUUCCUCAAGUUCACUAAAAGCACUAAUCUAAGAUAAAGAGAAAUGGGGAGGAGUUCCCUGGUGGCUCAGUGGGUUAAGGAUCUGGCAUUGUCACUGCUAUGGUGCAGGUUUAAUCUCUGGCCUGGGAACUUGCAAUACUUUAUUUUCAUUGCAACUGGCUACAAGGGUGCACAAAAAAGAAAGAAAGAAAGAAAGAGAGAGAGAGAAAGAGAGAAAGAAGAAAGAAAGAAAGAAAGAAACAAAGAAAGAAAGAGGAAGAAAGAAAGAAAGAAAAAGAAAGGAAGAAAGGAGAAAGGAAGGAAGGAAAGAAAGCGAGAGAGAAGUGGGGAAAUAGAGGCUCUGUGCAUAUGAAUAUUUUUUAAAAAAAAAUUUAUUGAUUGAUUUAUAGUGUUCUGUUAAUUUCUGUUGUACAGAAAAGUGAUACAUAGAUAUACAUUCUUUUUCUCACAUUAUCCUCCAUUAUGUUCCAUCACAAGUGAUUAGCUAUAUAGUUCCCUGUGCUGUACAGCAGGAACUCAUUGCCCGUCCACUCCAAAUGCAAAAGUUUUCCUCUACUAACCCCAUAUACCCUAAACAUUCCACUCCCUACCUCUCCCCCCAGCAAACACGAGUCUGUCAUACAUGUCCAUGAUCUUUUCUGUUUUGUAGAUAGAUCAUUUGUGCCAUAUUUUAGUCUCCACAUAUAAAUGAUACCAUAUGGUAUCUAUCUUUCUCUUUCUGACUUACUUCACUCAGUAUGAUAGUCUCUAGUGCCAUCCAUGUUGCUGCAAAUGGCAUUAUUCUGUCCAUUUUUUAUGGCUGAGUAGUAUUCCAUUGUAUAUGUGUACCACAUCUUCCUAAUAAAUUCAUCCAUAGAUAGGGAUUUAAUUUAGAUUAUUUCCAUGUCUUGGCUAGUGUGAAGAGUGCUGCAAUGAACCUAUUGGUGAAUAUAUCUAUUUCAAUUAAAUUUCUGUCUGGAUAUAUGCCCAGGAGUGGAAUUGCUGUGUUGUAUGGUAGUUCUAUAUUUAGUUUUCUGAGGUAUAUUUCCAUGUUUUUUCCAUAGUGGUUGUACCAAUUUACAUUCCCACAGACUGUAUAGGAGGAUUCCCUUUUCUCCACAUCCUCUCCAGCAUUUGUUAUUUGUUGACUUGUUAAUGAUGGUCAUUCUAACUGGGGUGAAGUGGUACUUCAUUGUAGCUUUGAUUUGCAUUUGUCUAAUAAUUAAUGAGCUUGAGCAUUUUUUCAUGUGCCUGCUGGCCAUUUGUAUGUCUUUGGUGAAAUGUCUCUUUAGGUCUUCUGCCCAUUUUUCAAUAAGGUUAUUUGGGUUUUUGUUGUUGUUGAGUUGUAUGAGUUGUUUGUCUGUUUUUGGAGAUUAAACCUCUGUUAGUUGAAUCACUUGGAAAAAUUUUCUCCCAUUCUAUGGGUUGUCUUUUUGUUUUUUAAUGGUUUCCUUUCCUGUGCAGAAGCUUUUGAGUUUAAUUAGGCCCUAUCAGUUUACAUGUGUCUUCAUUGUCUUUAUUCUAGGAGGUGGAUCAAACAAUAUGUUGCUGUUAUUUAUGUCAAAGUGAGUUCUGCCUAUGGUUUCCUCUAGGAGGUUUAUAGUGUCCGGCCUUACAUUUAGGUUUUUAGUCCAUUUUGAGUUUGUUUUUGUGUAUGGUGUUAGACAAUGUUCUAAUUUCAUUCUUUUACAUGCAGUUGUCCAGUUUUCCCAGUAUCAUUUAUUGAAGAGACUGUCUUUCCUCCACUGUAUGUUCUUGCAUAAUUAUAGAUUAAUUGAUCAUAGGUGUUUGGUUUAUUUCUGGGCUUUCUAUCCUGUUCUAUUGAUCUAUAUUUCUCUUUUUGGCCAGUACCAUACCAUCUUGAUGACUGUAGCUUUGUAGUAGAGUCUGAAGUCAGGGACCCUGAUUCCUCCAGUUCGAUUUUUUUCUUUUCAAUAUUGCUUUGGCUAUUCGAGGUCUUUUGUGUUUCCAUACAAAUUUUAAGAUAUUUUGUUCUAGUUCUAUAAAUAAUGUCAUUGGUAAUUUGACAAGGAUUUCAUUGACUCUGUAGAUCGCCUUAGAUAAUAUAAAGGAAAAGAAAAGAAAAAGAGAGAGAAGUGGGGAAAUAGAGGCUCUGUGCAUAUGAAUAUUUUCUGAAUGAUGGGAUAAAUGGCUUCUUGAGAGUUAAAAAGAAAAUGAGAAAGUUCUUAUUUUAAAAAUCACCUCCAUCAUCAUGAUCUUGAUGAACUUGGACAUCACUACAUUUGAUUUUAGAGAUGAAGAAAUGUUUGUUAAAGUCACAUUAAGCAUCAGUCUAUUCAACAAGCAUUGGCUAAGCUUCAAUUACGUGUCAGAACAUAUAAUCAGGUAUGUUAGGCUGUGAAUACAUGGAAAAAGUAAAAAAAAAAUCAUGCGCGGAAUAACACAGACAUAGGUAAAAAAUUCAGAUAUGUGGGUGUCUAAUCCAGAGGAAUGAAAGUGGCUAAAUUAAACAAAUGGGUAUCCAAAGCUUUCCACAGAAUACUAGCUGGUAGGACUUGAUUUGCUUUUACCAUCUCAGUUAAAAAUCACUAUUACUUUUUGAAAGCAACACAGGAAAAGACAACCAUUUGGCUUUUAAUGAAUAUUUCCAGGGUUUUAAAUAUUUCUCUUUUUUAUAAAAAAGAACUGUCUCCUCCCAUGUAAUCAUUUCUUAUCACUUCCAUUAAUUCUGGAGGCUUUUAUUAUUAGGUUUAAGAAAACAGUUUAAGAUGCUUAAAAACAGUCAUUUUUAAAAUGUUAGAUAAGUGGAAAAUA